rnacentral:rRNA from 1 species
AGUGAACGCUGGCGGUAGGCCUAACACAUGCAAGUCGAACGGCGGCACAGUAAGAGCUUGCUCUUACGGGUGGCGAGUGGCGGACGGGUGAGGAAUACAUCGGAAUCUACUUUUUCGUGGGGGAUAACGUAGGGAAACUUACGCUAAUACCGCAUACGACCUACGGGUGAAAGCAGGAGAUCUUCGGCCCUUGCGCGAUUGAAUGAGCCGAUGUCGGAUUAGCUAGUUGGCGGGGUAAAGGCCCACCAAGGCGACGAUCCGUAGCUGGUCUGAGAGGAUGAUCAGCCACACUGGAACUGAGACACGGUCCAGACUCCUACGGGAGGCAGCAGUGGGGAAUAUUGGACAAUGGGCGCAAGCCUGAUCCAGCCAUACCGCGUGGGUGAAGAAGGCCUUCGGGUUGUAAAGCCCUUUUGUUGGGAAAGAAAAGCAGCAGGUUAAUACCCCGCUGUUCUGACGGUACCCAAAGAAUAAGCACCGGCUAACUUCGUG